GUCAGGUGCGGUGGUGCGCACCUGUAAUCCCAGCAGCUUGGGAGGCUGAGGCAGGAGGAUCACAAAUUCAAAGCCAGACUCAGCAAAAGUGGGGCGCUAAGCAAUUCAGUGAGACCCUGUCUCUA
rnacentral:sRNA from 1 species